AGAUGGUUAUGGUUCGAAUCCCACCGUUACCCACUGGAUGUAUCUUCGUGCUCUCAUUCUCUGUAUUUUGAUAUUAUGUCCUUCUGUUUGACAAAGGUUUAUAAGCCUAAAUUGAGCACAAAUCGACAACAAUAAUCAACAAAAGGAAGUUGGCAACAGUCCUAACGUGUUUAAUCCGGUUGGGUCUGAGUUUUAGCAAUUUUUUCAAAUUCUUUAAAUUCCAAGAACUAAUAAUAAUGACUUCUGAAACAAUAACGAAAAUCUUAAAAUGCGAUUCAUUUGAUGAAAACAAAGACUUGUGUCUUAUAGUGGAAGAUACUACGGCUUAUUGCCAGAAGGAUUUUGUUAAGAGAAUGAGUCCAACUAUUUAUGAUAUUGUUAUACUUCAACCCGACUGAAACGAAAUGGUUGUUCCUACAAGCAAUUUUGCUAGAAACGCAGAGCUAUAAGUGAUAAGCAGAGAGCUCGCCGCGCUUAAGUAUACUCAAUUUUGCUAGUGCUACAACUGUUAUGAAUAGAGAAUCAUACAUUAACGAUGAGGACUCAUGUGAUGUUAGUUACUAUGCUGGGAUGUUGGAAUAAGCUCUCUACUUGCCACAGAAAAUAUUAGAAAAAGAAAUUAAUUGAACAGAUUGUUCCCCAAAAUGUUCGUCAAGUCCUUCGAAUUGCUACAGAUUAUAGAAAAUUGGAUUUAAUUAAGAAAUCUGUGGAGCUGAUAAGAUCUGAAGUUGAUAAAUGACGCAUGUCUAUUUUACUGAUAUUUCUACUCGUAGCACGGCAAAAAUAGAUUUUUUAUAUGGCGUUGAGAGCCAUGGACUGUAAUUUCAGUUUCAUCCUAUUGAGUGUGUUGCAAUAAUUCAGACUUAUGAAAACUAUGACUGAGAAAGAAUAAAGCCUGAGAAAGAGAGCUGAAGCAUUGAAUUGAAUUGAACAAUUGGCACCAAAGUAUACGGAGUGAAACAUUGACCUUUUUCUCAAUUGACUGAACACUGUGAAUUAUGAAAUUACAUUCUGGCUAAACAGAGCUUGUGCAAUAAUUAGGUUUAGCAAAAGUUUAUAGCAUACGGGUCUUGAAUGUCUGACCAUUCGAUUAUUUAUAAGUAGCCAAUCAAAUAAGCUCUCUUUGCUUAUAAAUAGUUUGACAAGAAAAUGAAAAGAUCACAGAAAGAUUAGGAGUCAUUUAGCAGUUGAGCAUAGCAGCGCCAUGUAUUUCAGAGUAUAUCUGGUUAAGCCGUGGUAGAUGCCGUGAAACGUGAAGAAAGUCCAUUUGUAUAAUUUUAUAUUUUUGAGGAAAUUUAUUUGAAACCUUUUAAAAAAACUAAUAAAGAUUGCAAAAAAUAAUUCCUAAAUAGCUGAAUAUUUAAAUAUGACUUAAUUGCUUUGAGAUAGCUUAAUUGCUUUGAGAUUUAUGAUGCUUUAUACUUGUUAGUAAUAAAAAUCUUUAGUCAAACUUGUGUACAAAAUGCUUCAAUAUAAAAAUAAAACAGUUUAAACUAUAAUCAUUCAAUUUAUAGUAUUUUGUGUGCAA